UUAGAUUUGACCCAGAAUUUGAAUUUGGCAUUAUCCGUGGAGCUCGACUCGGAGCCGUUCAGGAGCUGGACGAUCCGGUCGUAUUUUUUACGGGUCACCGUCUUGGUUUUUCCUGAGUCCCCGAGGCAAACGGGGUCUGGUGGAGGCUCCUCUUAUCGUUCCACUGUACGUGAUCAGUCUCUAAUAAUUGUGCAAGGCAGGACUAUCCCACUGGCUCCAGCAGUGGCUUACCCGGAGAGGGUUCGGGUGGAUAAAUAAUUAAAAUCCUAUCCCUUGGCUUAGCGGAGAGACAAAAUAAAAAAGAAGAAAAUACCGACUAGUAUCCGUCUUUUCCAUACAUCAGCUGCACCCGGAUUCACCCUGGAUAGUGCAGGUGGAGGAGGGGGGGGGAGAAGAAGAAAAAAGAGCCCACCCUCCUCCGCCCCGGCUGCCUUCUGGAAAGGCUCUUUCUGUCUCUGUCCUGGCGGGCUGUGCCUCUCCCUGAGGCCGCCUGGUCGCGCAGGAUGGAGGAACCACUGAAGGGCAAGCUGGGCUCUCUGCUCCCCCUUUAUUCCAGGGCUGGGCGGCUUGGCUUUAGAGAUCCCCGCUCCGGGCAUGAAGGUACUGGAAAGAAAGAAAGUUCUUACCUGCUAUUUUCUAAGCUUAAUACAUCCGAUCCGCGUUUUAAAUACAUAUUUUAAAAUUAAAAAAUAAUAAUAAUAAAAAAAA